rnacentral:misc_RNA from 1 species
AAGGAAAAGGAUGCUGCUCAAGAAGCUGAAUUUGCUAUGAUGGAAAUUCUUUGUAAAAGGCUUUCUGUGAAGGUUAAGUUCUUAAGCCCAAUAUCUGUACAUGGAUGUAGAAGGCAUUUUCUUUUGUGGGUAAAAAGCUUAUAUAUGUAAGCAUGUGCCUGUGUCUUCACACACACACACACACACAGAGUUUGUGCUGCGCCUAGAUUUUGACCUUUAAUGGCCUAGCUUUCCGCAAAUUUCACAGUGAAAUGGUCAUGUAAGAGUAUAUCAAGUCAUAAUCUUUUCAAAUUUUGCUUGGCUUUGAUUGU